rnacentral:rRNA from 1 species
AGAUUAAAACUCAAAGGAAUUGACGGGGCCCCGCACAAGCAGCGGAGCAUGCGGCUUAAUUCGACGCAACGCGAAGAACCUUACCAAGGCUUGACAUAUACAGGAAUAUGGCAGAGAUGUCAUAGCCGCAAGGUCUGUAUACAGGUGGUGCAUGGUUGUCGUCAGCUCGUGUCGUGAGAUGUUGGGUUAAGUCCCGCAACGAGCGCAACCCUCGUUCUGUGUUGCCAGCAUUUAGUUGGGGACUCACAGGAGACUGCCGGGGUUAACUCGGAGGAAGGUGGGGAUGACGUCAAAUCAUCAUGCCCCUUAUGUCUUGGGCUGCACGCAUGCUACAAUGGCUGGUACAAACGGCUGCAAUACCGCAAGGUGGAGCGAAUCCGAGAAAGCCAGUCUCAGUUCGGAUUGGGGUCUGCAACUCGACCCCAUGAAGUCGGAGUUGCUAGUAAUCGUAGAUCAGCAACGCUACGGUGAAUACGUUCCCGGGGCUUGUACACACCGCCCGUCACGUCACGAAAGUCGGUAACACC